AAAAGUGUAGCUUAAUGGUAAGGCGGGAAACUCCAAACUUCUAAAUACCAGUUCGAUCCUGGUCACUUUUG
rnacentral:tRNA from 1 species